GACGUAGGGCGCGAGCGUUGUCCGGAUUUAUUGGGCGUAAAGAGCUCGUAGGCGGCUUGUCGCGUCGUCCGUGAAAACCCACAGCUCAACUGUGGGCUUGCGGUCGAUACGGGCAGGCUAGAGUUCGGUAGGGGAGACUGGAAUUCCUGGUGUAGCGGUGAAAUGCGCAGAUAUCAGGAGGAACACCGGUGGCGAAGGCGGGUCUCUGGGCCGAUACUGACGCUGAGGAGCGAAAGCGCGGGGAGCGAACAGG
rnacentral:rRNA from 1 species